UGCUGUUUAUGAUGAUUGUUAAAUACAAUGGGAAUCUCUCUGAAUAAGAGUGAAAGAAAUAAUUGUACUGAAACAGUA